rnacentral:rRNA from 1 species
UAAGCACUUGUACUGUGAAACUGCGAAUGGCUCAUUAAAUCAGUUAUCGUUUAUUUGAUUGUACCCUUUACUACUUGGAUAACCGUGGUAAUUCUAGAGCUAAUACAUGCGAAAAGUCCCGACUUCUGGAAGGGAUGUAUUUAUUAGAUUCAAAACCAAUGCGGGUUCUGCCCGGUCCUUUGGUGAUUCAUAAUAACUGUUCGAAUCGCACGGCCUUGCGCUGGCGAUGUUUCAUUCAAAUUUCUGCCCUAUCAACUGUCGAUGGUAAGGUAUUGGCUUACCAUGGUUACAACGGGUGACGGAGAAUUAGGGUUCGAUUCCGGAGAGGGAGCCUGAGAAACGGCUACCACAUCCAAGGAAGGCAGCAGGCGCGCAAAUUACCCAAUCCUGACUCAGGGAGGUAG